AGAUUGAACGCUGGCGGCAUGCCUUACACAUGCAAGUCGAACGGCAGCACGGGAGCAAUCCUGGUGGCGAGUGGCGAACGGGUGAGUAAUACAUCGGAACGUGCCCAAUCGUGGGGGAUAACGCAGCGAAAGCUGUGCUAAUACCGCAUAAGAUCUACGGAUGAAAGCAGGGGAUCGCAAGACCUUGCGCGAAUGGAGCGGCCGAUGGCAGAUUAGGUAGUUGGUGAGGUAAAGGCUCACCAAGCCUUCGAUCUGUAGCUGGUCUGAGAGACGACCACGCCACACUGGGACUGAGACACGGCCCAGACU
rnacentral:rRNA from 1 species